rnacentral:misc_RNA from 1 species
UCUCCGUUGGUGAACCAGCGGAGGGAUCAUUAUAGGACUCGCAAGACUCCUUCACCCUGUGAACCUCACUACAAGCACGUUGCUUCGGCGGGUGUCCCGGCGGGGGUUUUCCCUCGCCAGGGCGCACAGCCCGCCGGCAGCCUACUAUACUCUGUCUCUUUGCGUUGGCAUCUCGAGAAAAAACAAACAAGUUAAAACUUUCAACAACGGAUCUCUUGGUUCUG